GGGCGUUUGGUUUAGUGGUAUAACGCCUCAUUCGCAGGAUUCGACGAUCCAAUUCGAUCUUCGAAAUAAUUCCUUGACUUGAGGAGGUCGGGGGUUCGAUUCCCCCAAUGUCCA